UGAAGCCCUUCGGGGUGGAUUAGUGGCGAACGGGUGAGUAACACGUGGGCAAUCUGCCCUUCACUCUGGGACAAGCCCUGGAAACGGGGUCUAAUACCGGAUAACACCGGCCUUCGCAUGGAGGCUGGUUGAAAGCUCCGGCGGUGAAGGAUGAGCCCGCGGCCUAUCAGCUUGUUGGUGGGGUAAUGGCCCACCAAGGCGACGACGGGUAGCCGGCCUGAGAGGGCGACCGGCCACACUGGGACUGAGACACGGCCCAGACUCCUACGGGAGGCAGCAGUGGGGAAUAUUGCACAAUGGGCGAAAGCCUGAUGCAGCGACGCCGCGUGAGGGAUGACGGCCUUCGGGUUGUAAACCUCUUUCAGCAGGGAAGAAGCGAAAGUGACGGUACCUGCAGAAGAAGCGCCGGCUAACUACGUGCCAGCAGCCGCGGUAAUACGUAGGGCGCAAGCGUUGUCCGGAAUUAUUGGGCGUAAAGAGCUCGUAGGCGGCUUGUCACGUCGGGUGUGAAAGCCCGGGGCUUAACCCCGGGUCUGCAUCCGAUACGGGCAGGCUAGAGUGUGGUAGGGGAGAUCGGAAUUCCUGGUGUAGCGGUGAAAUGCGCAGAUAUCAGGAGGAACACCGGUGGCGAAGGCGGAUCUCUGGGCCAUUACUGACGCUGAGGAGCGAAAGCGUGGGGAGCGAACAGGAUUAGAUACCCUGGUAGUCCACGCCGUAAACGUUGGGAACUAGGUGUUGGCGACAUUCCACGUCGUCGGUGCCGCAGCUA
rnacentral:rRNA from 1 species